CAUUGGUAUGAGCUUUCGUGUGCAUGCACAUGUGUGUAUCUGAAGACGUGUGCAUGCACACGAAAUCUCAUACCAAUG